ACGGCACUUGCUAGUAGUUUCCGAAAAGCUCAAAAGAAUAGUAGCAGACUAAAAGAGAGCUUAUAUGGAACUGUGUGGAAAAACCAUAAAUAGAGAAAACAGCUCUAUGUGUAUGGAUCAGGAUAUCUCGGAGGUGAACCAUGGCACAAGCCAGAGCUCGAGGACGAGAAGCCCUGCCCCGUUUUUGUCUAAAACGUACGAUUUGCUAGAGGAAGAAGAAGAGGAAGACAAAGAUGGUGGCGGUAGGAGAUCGAUUGUGUCAUGGAACGGAGAAGGAAAUGGUUUUAUAGUAUGGUCUCCAGCUGAGUUCUCAGAGCUCUUGUUGCCUAAAUACUUCAAGCACAAUAACUUCUCCAGCUUUAUUCGUCAGCUUAAUACCUAUGGAUUCAAGAAAACAUCACCAAAACGAUGGGAGUUCAAACACGAGAAGUUCCAGAAGGGCUGCAGGCAUAUGCUAGUGGAGAUCAAUCGAAAGAAAUGCGAACCGAGCGCUUUUCCGGUGUACCUAAAGGCUUCGGAAGAGAGCACUAGUGCUACUGGCGGGAUUAACCGAAGCAUGAGCAAUGCAGCAGAACAAGAGAAUCAGUCUCUGCUGCUAAUGGAGGAGAACAAGAACCUAAGGAAGCAGAAAAUGGAGCUUCAGAUGCAACUUUCUCAGUUCAAAGCACUAGAAACUAAGCUGUUGGAUUGUGUGGGUCAGUUUAUGCAAGACCAACACAAUCGAUGACAGAAAAUGGUACUAGCUAGCAGUGAUAUGAGAGUUUCCUAA